CUACUUCUUCAUGGACUUCUUCUUCCAAUUAGACUUUCUCUAAGAAAAAGUAGACCACUCCAUAGCAAGAACCGUAUCCCUUGAACCCUUUAAGGUCUAUUCAGCAGUUAUCAAUAUAUUUAACAAUUCGAUCUUGGUGCAGUCAAUCUUAUUCAUAUGCUAGUUUACUAUAAACUACUAAUACAAAUCAGGAAAGGAUUGCAGGAUCAAAUCAACUUACAAUUUUUUAUGUAUUAUUAUAUCGAGGUUCUCAAGCUCCUCUAAGUUUUUGAUCAUUGUCAAAUAAUGAUCAUGGACAGACUGUCCUUCAUGCAUCUUUGCUUUGAAAAGUCUUUUGGAUACUUCAUGACAAUGCACUGAUCAGCUCUGCUCACCAUAUAACUCUUUGAGG
rnacentral:lncRNA from 1 species